rnacentral:rRNA from 1 species
AGAGGCUACUGCUAUUGGAAUGCGACUAAGCCAUGCGAGUCAAGGGGUUCUUCGGAGCACCGGCGUAUGGCUCAGUAGCAUGUGGGUAACCUACCNUCAGGAGGGGGAUAACNUCGGGAAACUGAGGCUAAUAUCCCAUAGACAAAAGAUACUGGAAUGUUUUUUUAUCGAAAGCUCCGGCACCUGAGGAUGGGCCUGCACUCGAUUAGGUUGUUGGUGAGGUAAUGGCUCACCAAGCCUACGAUCGGUACGGGUCGUGAGAGCGAUAGCCCGGAGAUGGGGACUGAGACAAGGCCCCAGGCCCUACGGGGCGCAGCAGGCGCGAAACCUCUGCAAUGUGUGAAAACAUGACAGGGGUAUUCCAAGUGCUCUUGUUUUGCAAGAGCUUUUCUUCGGUCCAAGACGCCGGAGGAAUAAGAGCUGGGCAAGACCGGUGCCAGCCGCCGCGGUAACACCGGCAGCUCAAGUGGUAGCCGUUAUUAUUGGGCCUAAAGCGUUCGUAGCCGGACAAGUAAGUGUUCUGGUAAAUCUCAUAACUUAAUUAUGAGACUUCAGAAUAUACUGCUUGUCUUGAGACCGGGAGAGGCUGGAGGUACUUUUGGGGUAGGGGUAAAAUCCUAUAAUCCCAAAGGGACCACCGGUGGCGAAGGCGUCCAGCCAGAACGGGUCUGACGGUGAGGGACGAAACCCAGGGGAGCGAGUCGGAUUAGAUACCCGGGUAGUCCUGGGCGUAAAUGAUGUGGGCUAGGUGCAAAGCUACCUAAGUGGUAGCUUGGUGCCGAUGGGAAGCCGUUAAGCCCACCGCCUGGGGAGUACGGUCGCAAGGCUGAAACUUAA